GGAUUAAUGAUUUAAAUCAAACAUCCCUUGAAAAAGCUGAACAAAAUAAUUGAAAGCUCAGUUUUCAACUCCUAUGGGUACUGUUGUCC
ensembl:snoRNA SNORD116 Small nucleolar RNA SNORD116